UACGGAGGGAGCUAGCGUUGUCUGGAAUUACUGGGCGUAAAGCGCACGUAGGCGGCUUUGUAAGUUAGAGGUGAAAGCCCGGGGCUCAACUCCGGAAUUGCCUUUAAGACUGCAUCGCUAGAAUUGUGGAGAGGUAAGUGGAAUUCCGAGUGUAGAGGUGAAAUUCGUAGAUAUUCGGAAGAACACCAGUGGCGAAGGCGACUUACUGGACACAUAUUGACGCUGAGGUGCGAAAGCGUGGGGAGCAAACAGG
rnacentral:rRNA from 1 species